rnacentral:lncRNA from 1 species
AGGAUUUUGUGGAGCAGGGGAGUGGACCUCUCACAGCAAGGCAGAGGAAGAUCACUAAACUGGAAGAAUACUUUCAGGUCAGAGGUUGUCUCUCACAUUAGGAAGCAAUAAUCCAGCCCUAUUGCUCCGAAAAACUCUGUGAAACAUGAGUGGGUGAAGGAUUGGCAAGGCUCCCAAGAAACGGAGAAAAUACUCUCAAAUUAAGCCCGGGCUAGUGAUAAUUGCUAAUUAUUGAACAUCAGUGAGUGAGAAAGGGAAAAUCCAUGGAGUGGUGGAUGGAUGGUAUGUAAAAGUACCCAUAUCACUGGCAUAG